CACGUAGUUAGCCGGGGCUUCUUGUCCAGGUACUGUCAUUUUCCUCCCUGCUGACAGGGCUUUACGCACCGGAGUGCUUCUUCACCCACGCGGCAUUGCUGCAUCAGGGUUCCCCCAUUGUGCAAUAUUCCCCACUGCUGCCUCCCGCAGGAGUCUGGGCCGUGUCUCAGUCCCAAUGUGGCCGUCCACUCUCUCAAGCCGGCUACUGAUCGUUGUCUUGGUAGGCCGUUACCCUGCCAACUAACUAAUCAGACGCGGGCCCAUCCUGUACCACCGUGGUUUUCCCUGCUGUGCCAUGCGGCACAGCAGGCUUAUGCGGUAUUAGCAGCCAUUUCUGGCUGUUGUCCCCCGGUACAGGGCAGGGUUGCCCCACGCGUUACUCACCCCGUCCGCCACUAGGUUUAUAUAUCUUUCCCUCCGGGAGAGUUCCCGUCAAUACUAAAACCCCGUUCGACUUGCAUGUGUUAGGCAUGCCGCCAGCGUUCAUCUGAGCCAGGAUACAAA
rnacentral:rRNA from 1 species